rnacentral:rRNA from 1 species
AGAUGCAGUGUACCCGCGGCAAGACGGAAAGACCCCGUGAACCUUUACUAUAGCUUGACACUGAACAUUGAGCCUUGAUGUGUAGGAUAGGUGGGAGGCUUUGAAGCGUGGACGCCAGUCUGCGUGGAGCCAACCUUGAAAUACCACCCUUUAAUGUUUGAUGUUCUAACGUUGGCCCCUUACCGGGGUUGCGGACAGUGUCUGGUGGGUAGUUUGACUGGGGCGGUCUCCUCCCAAAGCGUAACGGAGGAGCACGAAGGUUAGCUAAUCCUGGUCGGACAUCAGGAGGUUAGUGCAAUGGCAUAAGCUAGCUUGACUGCGAGCGUGACGGCGCGAGCAGGUGCGAAAGCAGGUCAUAGUGAUCCGGUGGUUCUGAAUGGAAGGGCCAUCGCUCAACGGAUAAAAGGUACUCCGGGGAUAACAGGCUGAUACCGCCCAAGAGUUCAUAUCGACGGCGGUGUUUGGCACCUCGAUGUCGGCUCAUCACAUCCUGGGGCUGAAGUAGGUCCCAAGGGUAUGGCUGUUCGCCAUUUAAAGUGGUACGCGAGCUGGGUUUAGAACGUCGUGAGACAGUUCGGUCCCUAUCUGCCGUGGGCGCUGGAGAAUUGAGGGGGGCUGCUCCUAGUACGAGAGGACCGGAGUGGACGCAUCACUGGUGUUCGGGUUGUCAUGCCAAUGGCACUGCCCGGUAGCUAAAUGCGGAAGAGAUAAGUGCUGAAAGCAUCUAAGCACGAAACUUGCCCCGAGAUGAGUUCUCCCUGAGACUU